rnacentral:tRNA from 1 species
CGGAGCAUGUCGCAGCUGGUAGCGUACCGUCUCGCUCGGGGUGAUGGAGGUCGCGGGUUCAAACCCCGUCGUCCCGCUGCUCCGA